rnacentral:rRNA from 1 species
CAAGUCAAGGGGACUCGCAAGAGUAACCGGCGGACGGGUGAGUAACGCGUGGGAAUCUUCCUUAAAGUUGGACAUAGCUUCCCGAAAGGGGAGGUAAUUUCCAAUGUGAUCGCAAGAUUAAAGUCGCAAGACGCUUUAAGAUGAGCCCGCGUCCUGUCAGCUAGUUGGUGGGGUAAUGGCCUACCAAGGCGACGACGGGUAGCUGGUCUGAGAGGAUGGUCAGCCACAACGGGACUGAGACACGGCCCGUACAUCUACGGAUGGCAGCAACUGGGAAUAUUCGGCAAUGGGCGAAAGCCUGACCGAGCGACGCCGCGUGGGGGAUGAAGGCCUUCGGGUCGUAAACUCCUUUUAUCUGGGAAGAUUAUGACGGUACCAGAUGAAUAAGCACCUGCUAAUCACGUGCCAGAAGCCUCGGUAAGACGUGAGGUGCAAGCGUUAUCCGGAUUCAUUGGGCGUAAAGUGUUGCGUAGGCUGUUUGUCGCAUUUUAUUUAAAAGCCCAUGGCUCAACCAUGGUUUUGGAUAAAAUAUGGGCAAACUAGUAGGAUGGAGAGGGUACUGGAACAGAUCAUGUAGCAGUGAAAUGCGUUGAGAUGAUCUGGAACGCCAAAGGCGUAGGCAGGUACCUGGUCAUCUCUAGACGCUGAGGCACGACAGCUUGGGGAGCGAAGCAGAUUAGAGACCUGCGUAGUCCAGGCCGUAAACGAUCCUUGCUAGAUACCCGUCUCGCAUAGAGCGAGAGCAUUAUGUUCGCGCUUUGCGCGAGAUGGGUGUCGUAAGCUAACGCGUUAAGCAAGGCGCCUGGGGAGUACGAUCGCAAGAUUAAAACUCAAAGGAAUUGACGGGGAGGCGCACAAGCAGUGGAGCAUGUGGUUCAAUUCGAGACAAAGCGAAAACCUCACCUGGGAUUGACAUGUA